rnacentral:sRNA from 1 species
UCGUACCGAAGCGAUUCACCUCCUCCCGAGCCGCUUCGUCCGACCGACAGCACUCCUCCUCCCAAGCUGUCAGUCCCUAUCGAAGCCCGGCGCACCUCCUCCCGCGCCGGGCUUUUUUU